CACAGUGAAGCAGUAAAUGUGUGGAAAAUGUUCCACUUCUGAGGUUGUUUACACCUUACAAUUGCCUUACCUUGUACUCUAAAAGGCAUUGAAUAAUUUUGGGACAUUGCUGAGGUAAGAUCCAGGAGCUUUUCUAUGAUUGCAGUCUCAGCUCAGGAAACAGCCAAGCGGUGGGAUCCAGGCCCGAAAAAUGCUGAGAGUCAUCCAGGAGGUUUUGUUUGCUUUAUACUGCAUGGGU